GACGAACGCUGGCGGUGUGCUUAACACAUGCAAGUUGUGCGACGAACCAGAGCUUGCUCUGGGGCAAAGCCGCGAACGGGUGAGUAACACGUGGGUAAUCUACCCCGAUGACCGGGACAACCCGAGGAAACUCGGGCUAAUACCGGAUGUGGUGCGGAGACAUAAGUCUCUUCACUAAAGGUAGCUUCGGCUUCCGCAUUGGGAGGGGCCCGCGGCCCAUUAGCUUGUUGGUGGGGUCAAGGCCUACCAAGGCAACGAUGGGUAGCUGGUCUGAGAGGACGAUCAGCCACACUGGGACUGAGACACGGCCCAGACUCCUACGGGAGGCAGCAGUGGGGAAUCUUGCGCAAUGCGCGAAAGCGUGACGCAGCAACACCGCGUGAGGGAAGAAGGCCUUAGGGUUGUAAACCUCUUUCAGAUGGGACGAAGGUUCUCCGGUGAAUAGCCGAGAGGAUUGACGGUACCGUCAGAAGAAGCUCCGGCUAACUACGUG
rnacentral:rRNA from 1 species